UUAAUUGAAGCCAAAAAGAGGCAUAUUACUGUUAAUGAUACUAUUGGAUUAAGUUUUCCCAAUUAAA
rnacentral:tRNA from 1 species